ensembl:lncRNA
AUGUGAUGCACACACAGCCCAUCGAGAAUCAGUCUGGAAAUGGCCAGGUGCACCUCUGUGAAAAGAAUCUGCCUGUCCUCAGGCAGCCCGCCUGCCCGCCCGCUCAUCCCCCACGCCACCAGGCAGCACUGCUCCGCGAUCGCACUGCUCAGCCCUGAAGAACAAGGCUUUUAUAUGCUGUGGUUAAUUAGCUCUGCCAAUAACUCCAGGCAAAGAAAAAAAAAAAAAAAAACUGGCACAAAAAGCUCCCACUGUACAAACAAAGAAUUUGGAAGGAGGGAAGCUGAUAAACAAUGCAUCCCAGGGAGGCCGGCAGGCACUGAACUCAGCCCAGCAAGCAGCAAGCACCAGGGCCUGGUGUCAGCCCUGGGGAAGGAGCAGCAGCUUCCUCCUGUCUGCAGGGCUGGGGAUUGAGAAUUAAAGCUACCAUUUGCUUCAGAGAGAUGCUGAGAGUUCCCAGUUCAUCCCACAGAGGAAGCAGGGCCUGCCUGCAUCCUGAGGAAGCCUGGGGUGCCCUGACAUCCAGGCCCUGAGCAUGGUGCCCACCAGCCACAGGGACAGCAGAUGCUGCAGGGAGCUCAGAGCUUGGGGCUGGCACUGGAAACACCAGAAAUACCCUGGGCUGAGCUGAGAGCGUGAGGUUAAGAACAUCUGUGAUAACAGAUCUGCGAAACCUAAAAAAAAAAAGAUUCCUUUACCUACUGUGGGCUUACAGAAUCUGAAGUUAAAUUCCUGCUCAUUGUUUGAUGUACACAUGGACCUUCCUUUCAACGCACCAGCUCCAUAGAGAAAUCAUCAGCUUGAAUCACCUAUUCCAAGUGGUACUCAGGACAGAACUCUCACAAGCAGGAUUGAUGACAUAUCAAGCAGGAUUGAUGGCAUAUCCAAAUCCAAAUUUGGAGUUUGGUUAUUGCCUUUAUCUGUCUACUGCAAGAAAAGGCCUCAUUCCUGUACCAGAGCAAAAGAAACUUUCCUUUUCUUUCCUUUAAACUACUGAUAGAGUCUGGUCUGAUGGCAUUCCACAUUUUAAC